CAGGUAUAUCAAAGCCAACUGCCUGAUCCUGCACUGGUGUAAAUCAGCAUACUUCCAUGGAUUUGCACCUGAACUGAUUAUUCAGCACCUGAGCAUCUGAUUCCAAAUGCCCACACCUUCCUCAAACAUGUUUGACAUUCCCAGCAACUCUUGCCCUGUUGAUUUAAGGAUGGACUACAGAAAAUAAAGGGAAAUUUGAAGAGAAGACAAGCAAGCCUCUGUGGACACGUGCAUAAUCUAUCUUACUCUAAAAUUUGCUGGUUAUAUGGCUACAAACAAUCCCUCUCAGUGUUAUGGUAGGUGAAGACUGAAAUCUCUUCAUGCUCAGGUGAUUUUUUUGGACACAGCAGUACACCAUCACAUUAAUUUAGC
rnacentral:lncRNA from 1 species